rnacentral:rRNA from 1 species
GAGCUCAAAUUUAUAAUCUGGCACCUUCGGUGUCCGAGUUGUAAUCUCUAGAAAUGUUUUCCGCGUUGGACCGCACACAAGUCUGUUGGAAUACAGCGGCAUAGUGGUGAGACCCCCGUAUAUGGUGCGGACGCCCAGCGCUUUGUGAUACAUUUUCGAAGAGUCGAGUUGUUUGGGAAUGCAGCUCAAAUUGGGUGGUAAAUUCCAUCUAAAGCUAAAUAUUGGCGAGAGACCGAUAGCGAACAAGUACCGUGAGGGAAAGAUGAAAAGCACUUUGGAAAGAGAGUUAACAGUACGUGAAAUUGUUGGAAGGGAAACGCUUGAAGUCAGACUUGCUUGCCGAGCAAUCGGUUUGCAGGCCAGCAUCAGUUUUCCGGGAUGGAUAAUGGUAAAGAGAAGGUAGCAGUUUCGGCUGUGUUAUAGCUCUCUACUGGAUACAUCCUGGGGGACUGAGGAACGCAGUGUGCCUUUGGCGGGGGUUUCGACCUCUUCACACUUAGGAUGCUGGUGGAAUGGCUUUAAACGACCCGUCUU